GCGCCAGUGCUGAAAUUGGUAGACAGGCUAGGUUGAGGGCCUAGUGGGGGCAACCCCGUGGAGGUUCAAGUCCUCUCUGGCGCACCA
rnacentral:tRNA from 1 species